CUGACUGCUAUUGGAGUAGGACUAAGUCACGCUAGUCAAGGGUGCGGAAUGGAGCACCUGGCGUACGGCUCAGUAACACGUAGUCAACCUACCCUAAGGACGAGGACAACCACGGGAAACUGUGGAUAAUACUCGAUAAGAAAUUUGGCCUGGAACGGUAUCUUUCACAAAACCGGCUCGCCGUGAGACACGGGCCUUAGGAUGGGGCUGCGGCUGAUUAUGCUAGAUGGCGGUGUAAAGGACCACCAUGGCUACGAUCAGUAUGGGCGAUGGAAGUCGGAGCCCAGAGUCGGCUACUGAGACAAGGAGCCGAGCUUUACGAAGCUUAGCGGUCGCGAAAACUCGCCAAUGCACGAAAGUGUGAGUGGGCUACUCCAAGUGACAUUCUUACGGAUGUCUGUCGCUCAGUCUUACCAGCUGAGAAAGGAAGGAGAGGGCAAGGCUGGUGCCAGCCGCCGCGGUAAAACCAGCUCUUCGAGUGGUCAGGACGAAUAUUGGGUCUAAAGCGCUCGUAGCCGGACAAGUAGGUUCUUGGUUAAACCCGACAGCAUAACUGUUGGUCUGCUGGGAAUACCGCUAGUCUUGGAAGCGGGAGAGGACAGAGGUAGUCAUAGGGCAGGGGUGAAAUCCAGUGAACCUAUGGCGACCACCGAUGGCGAAGGCAUCUGUCUGGAACGUAUUCGACGGUGAGGGGCGAAAGCUAGGGGGGCGACCCGGAUUAGAUACCCGGUUAGUCCUAGCCGUAAACGAUGCGGACUAGGUGUUACAGCGGCCAAGAGCCACUGUAGUGCCACAGUGAAGACGUUAAGUCCGCCACCUGGGGAGUACGGAUGCAAGUCUGAAAC
rnacentral:rRNA from 1 species